GUCCUUCCUGUGUUGGUGCCCCAGAGCUGGAUGCAGCAUUCCAGGUGAUCUGGGAAAACAGUCCUGCUGUUCUUGCUGCAUCUAACAGAGAUAAGGGGGAAAGAGCCGGCACCAGUUUCUUGUACGUGCACACAUGGUGAAGCUGGAACGCUCCGUGUCGAACUGGAAACUUCAGCUGGGGACCGAAGCCCUUUGUCAGCUGGAGGGCCCUUUCAGAGGAAUUCUUUUAAGCUGCGCGGCACAACGGAUAAACCGAAAUGACAGACGUGGGGCCGGGGGAGCGCUGGCUGCGCCUUUCCCGGAGCGGCGGAGCGGUUCCGCUCUUGCGUAAGGCCGCGCGCGCUGCCAGCCCCUCGGCUUGUCUGAAGGGAGCCCUUCAUGUGACCCUCAGCCACCCCGAACGGACCGAUGUUAAACGUGAGGCAUAAAACCUGCUCGGUUACGUAACCGUUUCUCCCGGCCAAGUGUUUCCUACUGCGGUAAACAAACGUUUGUUUUUUUUUUAAUUUUAACUUGCCGCUAGAAUAAAACAUUCUGUGGGUAGGAGGGAGCGCAUGGGUGGGAGCAGGGAAUGCCGGUUAUUCGUGUCCCAGCGUGAAUGUGCCAGAAAGAUCAGUGAUGUAUUUUUGUUUGAUUAACGUGGCUGAUUUAGUCUGACAGCGUCUGUUAAGAAGUGCCCUAAGACCCAUUUCAUGCUUUUGCUAAUACAGCCGAAAGGAAAAUUGCAAGCAUCGCGAAAUGCUUUUUAAUUACACCUUUGCUGCCUGGUGAAACACUGGAUUUUAAAGGUGUCCUCAAAACAGUAGUGUAACUUUAAUUUACUUAGAAAUGCACUGACCUGGCAUUCUGACUUGGUCUGAAGGACAGAGCCAGAAAGUAAAAAAAGCAGUUUCAGCAUUUAAAAACGUGAGAGAAGCAGAUGACUGUCAGUGUGGCCACGUAAGGCAUUAUAGCUGAAACCCCUGAUGUGCCAUAUGGAACCUUACUGUUCUGUGGGAUUGUAGGUUGUUUUGAUGUAGAGAAUUUUCCUGAUAAAUCUGAGAGUCAUAAGGUUUUCCUCUGGCCUACCUGCAGCAGUGUGAGGUUUUUGGGGUUGCUGAAUCCCCUUGGGGCAGGAGGGAAUCUCAGGGGGUUGUGUAGCCUGUCCUGUGUUCUCUUCAAAAUCCGGCUUCUUAUUGACCUAAACAGAGGCAGAUUGUUGUGUGAAAUUACACCCUGGGAUUGUAAUUUCUGCCAUAAAAAGCACUGAGAUGUGAUUAAAUCUGCCUGGCAAGGU